GCUGAUUCUGUUUUAGGGGAUCAAUUUCCAACAAUUGAGGAUUUGAAGAAGCUGAAGUAUACUACUCGAGUGAUUAAUGAAUCAUUGCGACUUUAUCCACAACCACCUGUCUUAAUUCGUCGUUCUCUUGAAGAUGAUAUGCUCGGCGAGUACCCCAUAAAAAGGGGUGAAGAUAUUUUUAUCUCUGUGUGGAAUCUCCAUCAAAGCCCUA